ACAUAUGAUGUGAGUGAACAUUUUGCAUAGUGGCUUAUUAUUCUUCAUUGCGUGGAUGGGGUCUAUUUGCCUCAACUUUCUGUUCUUUUAAAAUCACACAUGCACAAACAAGCGUAUUUCACACUUAAUGUGCUAUUUUGUAACUGAAUAACUUAGUUUUGAUACAUUUAACUGCAAAUGCUCAAAAGAAUGAAGUCAAAAUGGAACAGAUGCUUAAUUGUAAAGAUGGCAUUUCUUAUGAAGUUG
rnacentral:misc_RNA from 1 species